rnacentral:Y_RNA from 1 species
GGCUGGUCCGAAGGUGGUGAGUUAUCUCAACUGAUUGUUCACAGUCAGAACAGACUGAACUCCUGGUUCUGCUCUUUCCCCCCUUCUCACUACUGCACUUGACUAGUCUUAA